UCUCUUAAUCGUUACCUUUUUUAAAUGUUAUUCUAAUGUUUUUUAUAGCUGCUCAAGUUUAAAUCCUGGCCAUGCUGGAGAUGCUUACACAGCAGGUCCAUCAAUUAACUGGCAAAGUUGACAGCUUUGUUCGCCCCAGUGUGAUACAAAUGUCUGGUCAAGAAGUGGAGUGGAGAGACCCGUUUCCGUUGACCACAAUGGAGGAAGUGGACCUGUUUGAGCAACAGCUCAAAGAUCCAGCCAACGCUAUAAUGAAGAAGAGUGUGACUUCAUCACCAGCAGGACAGCGAACAAGCCAUGCAGGGUACACACCAACCUGGCGAGGUGUGGUUCAGACACCAUUGCCUGCUGUGCUCAAAGAUCCAGCCAACGCUAUAAUGAAGAAGAGUGAUUUCCUCCCUGGGAACAAUCGGAGGACAUGAUGUAAAACGUGCAACGUGGAACAUCCUCGCACGCAUGUUCACUGAUGAUGUUGGCAAAUCCAUAAAUUGGAAAGGGAUUAAUGGAAAAAAAUCUUUCAAUCUAAUGACGUCCAAGACUUUGCUCCUGCGUGAAUGUUACUCAACUAUACCUUUACAUAAUAGUUAUAUGAUAUAUUAGCUCUAUGGAGUGGAGAUGGUCAGCUGCUUCAGGUUCCUCGGGGUCAACAUCAGCAACGACCUCACCUGGUCUGCUCACACAGACAAGGUGGUCAAAGCGCCCGGAAGCGCCUCUUCUUCCUGAGGAGACUGAAGAAGUUUGGCAUGGAUUCAGUCAUCCUCACCAAUUUCUACAGAUGCACAAUAGAAAGCAUCCUGACUGGGUGCAUCACAGUGUGGGAGCUGCACAGCCAAGGACCGCAAGGCCCUACGUAGUGUGGUCAGGACUGCGGAGUUCAUCAUCGGUAGGGAGCUCCCAGCCCUGCAGGACACAUACCGCACACGAUGCCUCAGGAAGACUGGCAGGAUCCUAAAGGACUGCCAUCAUCCAGCCUUCAGCCUGUUCACCCCGCUGCCUUCUGGAAGGCGGUACCGUAGUAUCCGGUCUCGCACACAGAGACUGGAGAACAGUUUCUUCCCGAGAGCCAUCAGGCUGCUCAAUGGACACUGACACACGAUCUACACUUUUGCACUCGACACUUUACACUCGUCACUUUACAUACACUGUCACUUUCAGCCUUGUACUUACACUUACACUUUAUAUUGCACUACCUGCUUUCACUACCUGCUACUCCCAUUUGUCUGUAGUUUAGUUAUUAUGUGUAUUACAUGUUAGUAUUAUGUUCAGAGUUCUUGUACAGUGUGUAUGUCAUGUUAUAUUAUGUUCGGCUAUUGAUAGUUGUUGUGUGGUGCCUUGUCCUAAGAAUUUCAGUGCCCAGUCUGACCCUGUGUCAUUCUGUGUAUCUGACAAUAAAAGACUUGACUUGACUUGACUUGACUAUAUUUAGCAUAGCACACUUUAAGUGCCAGACAGCCACUAGAUUUUAGACUGCAUGUCUGAUUUAUGUUGCACUGAGUAUUCAUGUGAUUUUGUAUCUGCUUGUGUGAUUACAGAUGCUGUCAGAAAGAAUCACUCAACACAUGCGUCCACUGACGACCAGGUUCUUAAGCACGCCAUUCGGUGGUUCAACCUGGCAGCAGACCGGGGUAGCUCCAGGAGGCGUGCUACUGUAGACGUCCCCCACACUGAACAGACUUAAAAUAUAUCUUUUUUAAAUGUGUGUGUAUAUAAUUUUGUCCUUUCAAAUAAAAAACUGUUUGACAUUA